rnacentral:misc_RNA from 1 species
AGCAGCCGCGGUAAUUCCAGCUCCAAUAGCGUAUAUUAAAGUUGUUGCAGUUAAAAAGCUCGUAGUUGAAUUUCGGGAUUGGCGCAUCGGUCGUGCCUUACGGGGUAUGAACUGGUGCAGUCAAUUUCUCACCUUCUGGAGAACCGCGAUGUCCUUAAUUGGGUGCCGCGGGGAA